CAGCAGGUAUAUAAAGGAAUCUUCUUCCUCAGCAUCACAGUUGGCUUCCCUUCAUCAGUGCUUAUACUUGUGCACGCAUCAGGAUGGCGCGCGUUAUCCUGCUGGUGCUGCUGGCCCAUCGCCGGGCCCUGCCUUGGCGCCAAGCUGCCUACCAUUCCCGGCGUCCGCGAAGGCAGCGGGCAAGCAGGUUUUCCCGGACCUCUUCUCCUCCCAGAACGCGCCUGAGUGCCUACCUCCCGCCGAUCCCAGAGCCCUGCAUCCCUGAAACCGUGACCAGGACGGAGACCACCACCGGUCACCUCGUAUGGCGGCACCACCAGGGACCAGCGUCCAGCACCAGAUUCCAGACGCAAACGGUGACCAGCACACAGCGCCAGGUAGUCCACCUGUGUACACCACCUCCUUCGUCCAGGAAGUGCAACCCACCACCAUCCGCACCACCGUUUAUUCCACCAGGUUCACUACCCGAAUCCAGACCGGCACCACCUCCUUGCCCGGAGGCAGGUGAACACGGUCACCCGGACACAGACACAGGUGGUCACUCGCACUCAGACCCGCACUCAGGUGUCCACAAGGGUCACCACGAUUGGCAGCACCGUCACCAGUACGCAAGUCCUCCACCCAGGUUAUUCCCACUACCUACACCCGCACCGCCAUCCAGACCAGGACAGAGUUGGUGACCCCGCACCUUGCCUGCCGUCACAAGCACGCGCGUUGGAGACCAAAAUAAGGACCACAGGUGGUGACCAGCACCACGCCAGGCCAAACCCGCACCAUCACGGUGACGCAGGUCAACACCGCCUAUGUCACCAGAACCUCCACGCUGCCGCAGCGCACCGUCACAGUCAUGUCCACGCUCGUGAACACCGUGAGGAGCACCGUGGUCAGCACCAUGGUCAGCCACGCGGAUCGAUGACCAACAAAUGACCCGCACCCAGACGGUGACCCGCUCCACCGCGGUGGUCACCACCCGCCAGGGUGGCCUCCACUGUACUCAGCACACGUGUGGUGCAGUCCACUGCCACUAACUUCCCAGACAACCACGCAGGUGGUGCCCAGCACAGCAGUUGUGCAGAUCACCGUCACCGACACCAGGCAGCUAAACGAUCGCGACUCCACCCGGGUAGUGACGGUGACCACCACCAGCACAGUGACCAGUAGCGGCGGCACUCGCACCACACAAGUGGUGAACUACGUAGAUAGGACAACCUUGGUGACCAGCUACAUCUCCACCCUCGUUGCCCUCCACCGUGAUCCGCACCACCACCCCUGCCCCUGCACCGCCACUGGAUACAAGUACGAAGAGCCCGCGAUUAAGUUCCCGGUCGGUUAACUGCCUCUUCGGUGAUCAAGUGAGGUGCAGGAGGCUGGCUGGCUCACCCACUAACUUAUGACCUCUUCACUGCCCAUAUAUGAAAUUGGUCUUUAGUUUCAAUAAACAUCACCGUGACAAAUUCCUCACACAACGCAUGUUUCGCUCUUCGGAGGGAAGGAGGGGUGAGCGAAGAGCAUGUCAAGUGAGCUCCAGAAAAAAAAGAAGUGUAAUCGCACUUGAUUUUGUGUUAACUCAUACGUAAUUCUGACAGUUUCUGUUACUUCCGACAAAAAAAAAACAUGAUUGAAAAUAGUGUCUCGGGGCAUCCCUUCCCUUCCCCUCACUCUGCCCCGACACUCGCCUGGCAGCUUCCACCCAUCGCUCCUCCCACCCACACCCCUCCCGCAUCAACAGUAUCAAUGAAACACUAAACUGACGGGCAGUUUAUUACAUACUUUGAUAAACUACUGACGACGUU